CCUACGGGAGGCAGCAGUGGGGAAUAUUGCACAAUGGGGGAAACCCUGAUGCAGCAACGCCGCGUGAAGGAAGACGGCUUUCGGAUUGUAAACCUCUGUCCUCAGUGAAGAAUAAUGCCGUUAGCUAACGAGCAAGCCCCGGCUAAAUACGUGCCAGCAGCCGCGGUAAUACGUAGGUGGCAACCGUUGGCCGGAAUUACUGGGUGUAAAGGGAGCGCAGGCGGGAGGCCAAGUCAGCUGUGAAAACUACGGGCUUAACUUGUAGACUGCAGUUGAAACUGGUUUCCUGGAGUGAAGUAGAGGUUGGCGGAAUUCCGAGUGUAGCGGUGAAAUGCGUAGAUAUUCGGAGGAACACCAGUGGCGAAGGCGGCCAACUGGGCUGUAACUGACGCUGAGGCUCGAAAGUGUGGGGAGCAAACAGGAUUAGAUACCCGUGUAGUC
rnacentral:rRNA from 1 species